UCCAGACUCCUACGGGAGGCAGCAGUGGGGAAUAUUGCACAAUGGGGGAAACCCUGAUGCAGCGACGACGCGUGAGUGAAGAAGUAUUUCGGUAUGUAAAGCUCUCUCAGCAGGGAAGAAAAUGACGGUACCUGACUAAGAAGCCCCGGCUAACUACGUGCCAGCAGCCGCGGUAAUACGUAGGGGGCAAGCGUUAUCCGGAUUUACUGGGUGUAAAGGGAGCGUAGACGGCAUGGCAAGUCAGAUGUGAAAGCCCGGGGCUCAACCCCGGGACUGCAUUUGAAACUGUCAGGCUGGAGUGCAGGAGAGGUAAGUGGAAUUCCUAGUGUAGCGGUGAAAUGCGUAGAUAUUAGGAGGGACACCAGUGGCGAAGGCGGCUUACUGGACUGUAACUGACGUUGAGGCUCGAAAGCGUGGGGAGCAAACAGGAUUAGAUACCCCCGUAUG
rnacentral:rRNA from 1 species